GCACUGCUGAGGAGUCCCACAAUAGGACGAAACGGCCGUCCAGUGU
rfam:Schistosoma mansoni strain Puerto Rico chromosome W, complete genome